ensembl:lncRNA
CCCUUUACUAUUUAGAAACCUGUUGUGACUUUGUUCAAAGUAGCAGUCUACCUCUAAAAAAAUAUUUUUUGUCAAGAGAAACAUAAACAACUCACAGUGAACCUUAUGUGCAUUGGGAGUGCUUGAAGUUUGCCUCCUGUGGGAAGCCCAUGUGGGAUCAACUGGGGAAGGAUGGCAUCCUAUGGCAGGGCCCCCAUAUGGAGCGGUGCCAGAGAUCGACCAUGAAGAAGGAGCAUAGACGAAGUGUUAUGGAGUGACUGCAGUCCUCAUUCCUUGUUCCCCUGCACCGCUUGAGGGGGAGGAGGAAUGGGAGUGAGAAUUAGUGCACUCAUCAAUGUUUAGUCACCACAGAUAUAAGGAAUGAAGGAUAUAAGAGCCUGAAAACAUUCAAGAGGAAAAUGUCCAAAUAUAGAUCUUUCUGUUGUCAAAUGGAUGCUUGGCAGAGGGAAAUCACUAUACUAGAUGAUGGGAGGUAAUAUGUCCUGUCAUUCAUCCUGUAUUUGACAUAAAGAAUCUACAUUAUACUGUUGGCAAACGUCUAGAAGACUCAGGUGCACAUGCAUUUUCACACGUUUGAACCAGAUUCCUAGGGGGGCUAUAUGAAUCAGGUAGAAAUGUUACAAAGGGAAAGAAAGUAGAAACUUUGACUAUCCUUAUACUGCACUGUCUUUACUUGAUUUCCUAUCUCUGAGGGUAUUGUGUAAGUGAUAGGUGUAAUCUGCCCUAAUAAAACUCAGUCUGCCACAGGGGGCUGCUUGAAGGGGCAGUGUAGGAGUGCAUGAAUAAGACAACGACAGCUGAAUGGCCAGUGGGAGUCAGAGCUAGCAUAUCCUUCUUCAGUUGUCAUUUUUAACAGGAGUCUGUUCUUCCAGCAACACUCUUGCUGAUGGCAAAUGAAUGUUUGUAUCAUACAGAUUUUUCCUGCUUGUUUUUCCUUCUGUGAAAUAGAGAUAAUUUCAUGUUCUUCCUACUCGUGUUGAGAAAACAACAGUAUUUACUCUAAAAUUGUCUUAAAUUAAUAUAAUGAUACUGAAUAUAUGGCACAAAUGAAAGAUGAGUUAUCACUGAACUAUUACAACCAGCCUAGAGCUUUAUGACAUCCUACAUUAUUAUACAGGGAGAGUAAAAGCAUUUUUUCUCAUGCGUGGUUUCUUUCACAUUUGCAUUCCUUCCUCAGAUACACCAAUUGUCUAGAGCUUUUCUCAGAUUAUGAAGACUCUUCAGCUAUCUUAAGGAUUUCUCUGUUCUCUGAAGGCCUUCUACUCAAGGCCAGAAGUGAGAAAGAAGAUGGGAACUGUGCAUUCAAACCUAGGGAUUGAGAAGGGUGGAAUAUGGCUAAUCUUUGAUUCAGUUUUGUUCUGUUGGAGCAUGAGGAGUUGGGUAGAAAACAGCAUGCAGCUUCUGACUGAAAGGGGCACCCUUUAAGUCUUAAAGGAUAUGUUGAUUUAAUGCUUUCUCUAGAUAAGGAUGCAACAUAUGUCAAAUAAAUUAUAUAUUAGAAU